GAUGAACGCUGGCGGCGUGCCUAAUACAUGCAAGUCGAGCGAACAGACGAGGAGCUUGCUCCUCUGACGUUAGCGGCGGACGGGUGAGUAACACGUGGAUAACCUACCUAUAAGACUGGGAUAACUUCGGGAAACCGGAGCUAAUACCGGAUAAUAUAUUUAACCGCAUGGUUCAAUAGUGAAAGACGGUUUUGCUGUCACUUAUAGAUGGAUCCGCGCCGCAUUAGCUAGUUGGUAAGGUAACGGCUUACCAAGGCAACGAUGCGUAGCCGACCUGAGAGGGUGAUCGGCCACACUGGAACUGAGACACGGUCCAGACUCCUACGGGAGGCAGCAGUAGGGAAUCUACCGCAAUGGGCGAAAGCCUGACGGAGCAACGCCGCGUGAGUGAUGAAGGUCUUCGGAUCGUAAAACUCUGUUAUUAGGGAAGAACAAAUGUGUAAGUAACUAUGCACGUCUUGACGGUACCUAAUCAGAAAGCCACGGCUAACUACGUG
rnacentral:rRNA from 1 species